AUUGAACGCUGGCGGCAGGCCUAACACAUGCCAGUCGAGCGGAUGAAGGGAGCUUGCUCCUGGAUUCAGCGGCGGACGGGUGAGUAAUGCCUAGGAAUCUGCCUGGUAGUGGGGGAUAACGUCCGGAAACGGGCGCUAAUACCGCAUACGUCCUGAGGGAGAAGGUGGGGGAUCUUCGGACCUCACGCUAUCAGAUGGGCCUAGGUCGGAUUAGCUAGUUGGUGGGGUAAAGGCCUACCAAGGCGACGAUCCGUAACUGGUCUGAGAGGAUGAUCAGUCACACUGGAACUGAGACACGGUCCAGACUCCUACGGGAGGCAGCAGUGGGGAAUAUUGGACAAUGGGCGAAAGCCUGAUCCAGCCAUGCCGCGUGUGUGAAGAAGGUCUUCGGAUUGUAAAGCACUUUAAGUUGGGAGGAAGGGCAGUAAGUUAAUACCUUGCUGUUUUGACGUUACCAACAGAAUAAGCACCGGCUAACUUCGUG
rnacentral:rRNA from 1 species